GAUAUAGUGACCUGCCAGCAAGACGUCUGUCAAAACGGUGGAGUCUGCACCUCCUGUUUUAGUGACACUCACAAGAUGUGCACCUGUCUGCCAGGUUUCACCGGAGGAAAAUGCGAGAUAAACAUUGACGAAUGUUCCUCCUCGCCCUGUGUGAAUGGCGGCACGUGCUCGGAUGGGCUCAACUCAUACAUCUGCACAUGCCCACAAGGUUUCCAAGGAGAUAACUGCGAACACGACAUUGACCUCUGCAACCCGAAUCCAUGCCCUUUCAACUGGAACUGUAUUGAUAACGGUGGGCACCUCACGUGCGGCUUGAGAG